rnacentral:lncRNA from 1 species
CGCCACUGCUGCCCCAUAAAUACCUGCUGGAUAAACCAACACCGAAAGAUGACAUCAACCAAAGGCCCGGGGCAGCUCUGCUCGAACCUGGUCGGGGCAGCCAGAGCCUGCUCACAGCAGCUGGGUGUCGUUUCCCAGGUCCUUGUUCAGCGACAUGUCAUUGGUAUUUUGGAAUAAGCCACGACAAGGGUAUUUACGCCACAGAAACAGCCAACCCCUACAAACCAAGGAUUUUUUUUUAAGGAGAACUGACCUGAAGCAUUUACCAGCAUGACACUAUUGCCCUUCCACUACCAUUGUGGAAAAAUGUCACAAAAAUACCUACGUUUUGGCUGUGAAGCCAAACGAGACACCGGAACUUAGUUCAUUUGGCUUACUUUGCUAAGCUAAAAGACAAAAUAAGUCCCUGAAAAUAAAUUCCAUGGUCUUUUCAGGGUUGGUGUGAUGUGUUUGUUUAUUAUGAGCACUGUGGAGAAGAUCCAAGAUUGAUUAUCGUCACAAUGCAGCCAUGUAUGACGAUCUAUGCUGAGUCUAUGUAGAGGUUCUCCACGGAAAUAAUCCCUCCAGUCGACUGCACUGCUGCAACAACGUGCGCCUGGGGGAAUCAGUUUAACCGAACAGGAGCUUGACAAGGCCCAGGUGCUGUGAUCAGAAAUGGGGAAUGGUGGUGAAGAAGGUCCCGAGGUCCUCAAGAUCCUCGCAGUCUAAGCGGAUAGUGCUAUGUGCCGUCAACUAAAAGGACUGCAGACAGACGCUCUAACACACAGAGCCAUAAAUCAGGAAGGGACCAGGCUCGUGUUCACUGGCGGCGAUGAGAGCGCUGUGUAGAGGAGGGCGAAGGAGGAGAGGCCAGGAAGCGGGCGCUCCCCACACCCCAGGCCGAGGAUGGGUUCUCACCACCAACACAGGCGGCAGCAGCAAGACCAACACUUUAAUGCAUCAUGAAAGACCGGAACACCUGGAUGGUAUGUACAAGCGUCAUCGGAAUUGGUCUUGGGAUCGAAGCGCUGACCGCAGCCCCGGUUGUGGCCCAGUAGGGCCAUUUUCCUUUCCCACCAUUACAGGCCAAGCUGAAACACCGCAAAGCUCCCGACCACUGAGCAGCUACAUCCUUAGUCCAUUAAAUAGCAUUCUAAAAUAUGAGUCCUCAUGGCUGCCUACAUUCCAUUGUGAACUACUUAG